UAUUUUAUAGUUUAUUUAAAAAAUAUUAAAUUGCAAAUUUAAAGAAAUUUAUAUUUAUUGAAUUAAAAUAU
rnacentral:tRNA from 1 species